UGGUGGAGUGAUUUGUCUGGUUAAUUCCGUUAACGAACGAGACCCCCGCCUGCUAAAUAGUCUUGUUAAUGCACUAGUAUUGACGUAGGCUUCUUAGAGGGACUUUCGGUGACUAACCGAAGGAAGUUGGGGCAAUAACA
rnacentral:rRNA from 1 species